AACGAACGCUGGCGGCAGGCUUAACACAUGCAAGUCGAGCGCCCAGCAAGGGGAGCGGCAGACGGGGGAGUAACGGGGGGGAACGUACCCUUAUCUGCGGGAGAGCGCCGGGAAACUGGAAUGAAUACCGAAGGUGCCAUGUGGGGGAAAGAUCUAUCGGAUAAGGUGCGGCCCGCGGCGGAUUAGAGAGGUGGCGGGGUAAGGGCCUCCCAAGGCGACGAUAGAUAGCUGGUCUGAGAGGAGGAGCCGCCACCUUGGGGCUGAGCCACGGCCCAAACUCCUACGCGAGGCGGCCGUGCGGGAUCUUGCCAUGUGGGCUGCAGCAUGAUCCCGCCCUGCUGGGUGACUGCUGAAGUCCUUAGCGUAGUGCCUCUCUUUAAUCGGGGAAGAUCAUGACGGUACCCGAAGAAGAAGCCCCGGCUAACUUCGUG
rnacentral:rRNA from 1 species